AGAGAUGUGUGAUGACGCAUAUCAAUAAGCGGAGGAAAAGAAACUAACAUAGGAUUCCCUCAGUAACGGCGAGUGGAGCGGGAAGAGCUCAAAUUUGAAAUCUUCAAGGUUCUACCUUGACGAAUUGUAGUUUAAAGAAGUGUUUUCUGUUGGAGUUUUGGUAAAAGUUCUUUGGAAUAGGACAUCAUAGAGGGUGAGAAUCCCGUAUUUGACCAUUAUUUCCAACUUUGUGAUACACUUUCAAAGAGUCGGAUUGUUUGGGAAUGCAGUCCAAAAUGGGUGGUAAAUUUCAUCUAAAGCUAAAUAUUGGCGAGAGACCGAUAGCGAACAAGUACCGUGAGGGAAAGAUGAAAAGAACUUUGAAAAGAGAGUUAAACAGUACGUGAAAUUGUCAAAAGGGAAGCGUUUGACACCAGUGUUGUUUUUCCGAAAAUCAAUUACGAAUGUUUUAUUUUUGAGAAGUUAUGACUUCAUCGGCUUGCUUCUCUCUUUAUGAAACUUUCUUAAUGCACUUUUCGGUUAACAAGUCAACAUCAAUUUCUUUUGUUGUAAAAGGGUAUGAGGAAGGUGGCUUUCUUUUCGGAGAAAGUGUUUAUAGCCUUGUAGCCUCUGCAAUCGGAGAGAUUGAGGUCUGCAGCGUAGAUCCUUCGGGGUUAGAUACAUUUGUGCUAAGUUAUAGCUUUUCAGUAGACAACUUGUUGACUAUGUUUAGUCUUGUGACUUACUCGCUUAUGCUAUUUUACCUACGCUUAGGAUGUUGAAGAUGUAGCACAUCAU
rnacentral:rRNA from 1 species